CCUACGGGUGGCUGCAGUCGAGAAUUAUUCACAAUGGGGGAAACCCUGAUGCUGCGACGCCGCGUGGGGGAAUGAAGGUCUUCGGGUUGUAAACCCCUUUCAUGUGGGAGCAAAUUAAAUAGAUAGUACCACAUUAGGAAUAGACGGCGAACUCUGUGCCAGCAGCCGCGGUAAUACAGAGGUCUCAAUCGUUAUUCGGAAUCACUGGUGGUAAAGCGUGCGUAGGCUGUUUCUGAAUGCGUGUGUGAAAGGCGCGGGAUCAACCAGCGGACGGCACAGGGUACUGGGCGCCUCGAGUAAUCGAGGGGUAAGCGGAAUUCUGGGUGUAGCAGUGAAAUGCGUAGAUAUCGAGAAGAACACUCGUGGCGAAGGCAGGUUCCUGGACAGUAACUGACGCUGAGGCACGAAGGUCCGGGGAGCGAAAGGGAUUAGAUACCCCAGUAGUC
rnacentral:rRNA from 1 species